CCUACGGGAGGCAGCAGUGGGGAAUAUUGGACAAUGGGCGAAAGCCUGAUCCAGCCAUGCCGCGUGUGUGAAGAAGGCCUUCGGGUUGUAAAGCACUUUCAGUGGGGAAGAAAGCCUUGGGGCUAAUACCCUCGAGGAAGGACAUCACCCACAGAAGAAGCACCGGCUAACUCCGUGCCAGCAGCCGCGGUAAUACGGAGGGUGCGAGCGUUAAUCGGAAUUACUGGGCGUAAAGCGCGCGUAGGCGGUCUGAUAAGCCGGUUGUGAAAGCCCCGGGCUCAACCUGGGAACGGCAUCCGGAACUGUCAGGCUAGAGGGCAGGAGAGGAAGGUAGAAUUCCCGGGGUAGCGGUGAAAUGCGUAGAGAUCGGGAGGAAUACCAGUGGCGAAGGCGGCCUUCUGGACUGACACUGACGCUGAGGUGCGAAAGCGUGGGUAGCAAACAGGAUUAGAUACCCAGUAGUC
rnacentral:rRNA from 1 species